rnacentral:rRNA from 1 species
GAUGAACGCUAGCUACAGGCUUAACACAUGCAAGUCGAGGGGCAGCAUGAACACAGCUUGCUAUGUUUGAUGGCGACCGGCGCAAGGGUGCGUAACGCGUGAGCAACUUGCCCGUUUCAGGGGGAUAACCGGUGGAAACGCCGACUAAUACCCCAUAGCAUCACAAGGAGGCAUCUCCAUGUGAUUAAAGAAUUUCGGAAACGGAUAGGCUCGCGUGACAUUAGCUAGAUGGCGGGGUAACGGCCCACCAUGGCGACGAUGUCUAGGGGUUCUGAGAGGAAGGUCCCCCACACUGGAACUGAGACACGGUCCAG